UACGGAGGAGGCAAGCGUUAUCCGGAAUUAUUGGGCGUAAAGCGUCCGUAGAUGGUUUUGUCAGUCUGCUGUCAAAGCACAGGGCUUAACCCUGUAAAGGCAGUGGAAACUACAAGACUAGAGUGCAGUAGGGGCAGAGGGAAUUCCCAGUGUAGCGGUGAAAUGCGUAGAGAUUGGGAAGAACACCCGUGGCGAAAGCGCUCUGCUGGACUGCAACUGACAUUGAGGGACGAAAGCUAGGGGAGCGGAUGGG
rnacentral:rRNA from 1 species